rnacentral:rRNA from 1 species
CCUACGGGAGGCAGCAGUGGGGGAUAUUGCACAAUGGGGGGAACCCUGAUGCAGCGACGCCGCGUGGGGGAAGACGGUCCUCUGGAUUGUAAACCACUGUCACCAGGGACGAAAAUGACGGGACCGGGGGAGGAAGCGCCGGCGAAGUACGUGCCAGCAGCCGCGGUAAUACGUAGGGAGCGAGCGUUGUCCGGAAUUACGGGGUGUAAAGGGAGCGUAGGCGGGGCUGCAAGUUGGGUGUCCAAACUACCGGCUCAACUGGUAGUCGCACUCCAAACUGCAGCUCUUGAGUGAAGUAGAGGCAGGCGUACUUCCUAGUGUAGCGGUGAAAUGCGUAGAUAUUAGGCGG